rnacentral:rRNA from 1 species
GACGAACGCUGGCGGCGUGCUUAACACAUGCAAGUCGAACGGUGAAGGGAUUGGUUUGGCUGGUCCUGGAUGAGUGGCGAACGGGUGAGUAACACGUGAGUAACCUGCUCCCUUCUUCUGGAUAACCGCAUGAAAGUGUGGCUAAUACGGGAUAUUCUGGGUCUGUCGCAUGGGGUGCGUGGGAAAGGUUGCGCCUGUUUUGGCGUUUUUGGUGGGGGAUGGGCGCGCGGCCUAUCAGCUAGUUGGUGGGGUGAUGGCCUACCGAGGGGGAGACGGGUAGCCGGCCUGUGAGGGUGGACGGUCACAAUGGGACUGCGGCACAGCUCGGACUCGGACGGGAGGCAGAAGUGGGCAGGAUUGCACAAUGGGGGAAAGUCGGAUGCAGCGACGCCGCGUGAGGGAUGGAGGCCUUCGGGUUGUGAACGUCUUUCGCCAGUGAAGCAGGUUUGGCUCUUUGUGUGGGUGGGUUGACGGUAGCUGGAUAAGAAGCGCCGGCUAACUACGUG